CUUCAAAGAAAGAAAGCAAGAAAGAGAAAAAGUGGCAGGGCAGAUGCUCUCACGGUUCCGUGUUCCACGGAAAAAAUGAAUUGAUUCCCGGCCGGCUGACUUCAGUUGGCCAUAAGGAGAUCGAUUCUCCUUUCUUAUUUCAUUAUGCACAAUUUGCUGCGACAGGAGUCCUGAGCUAACCUGUCUCUCUGUUUGCUGGCAACUGGAAAGGUAAGAAGAGGAAAUUACAGGACCCGUCCGCUAUGGCAUCCGACAGACAUCCUAGGUACCGUGCUUUGGCUAUUGCAAUCUGUGCGACAGCAUCGGUCCUCGUGGCUGCUUUCCUUCAAGCUCGUAAGAGAUGGCAAAGUGGCAACUCGAGCAGGAUGAAUGUGAACAAUUCGCAGCAGCAUCAGCAAGAGGUAGAGGGAAGCCACAAUGUUCCAUCAUCCGACUCCUCAGACUCAGACGAUCCAGCGACAGGCCAUGAGUAUGAAGUCUUCCUGAGCUUCAGGGGGACCGCCACCCGGAAGACAUUCACAGACUACCUCUACCAUAGCCUCAUCGAUGCUGGGGUCCGCACCUUCAGGGACAAUGAAGAGCUCCGCGUAGGGGAGGAGAUCGGCCCCAAGCUUAUGGAAUCAAUCCAGCAGACAAAGAUAGGGAUCCCCAUCUUCUCCGCAGAUUACGCAUCGAGCAAAUGGUGCCUCAUGGAGGUGGUGGAGAUGGUGAAGUCCAUGAAGGAGAGCAAACAGCUAAUCAUGCCAAUAUUCCUGGACGUUACGCCAGGUGAGGUCCAACACCAGACAGGGAGUUACGCCAAACCAUUCUCUCAGCACGAGAAGAGGUUCGAUCGGGAGAAGGUCCAAGCGUGGAGGGAUGGGCUGAAGGAAGUUGUGAAAUUGAAGGGUCUGGAACUUAAUAAAGUGGCAAACGGACAUCAAGGUGAGUUCAUAAAAUUAGUUGUUGCAAAGAUCAUUAGAGAACUGAAGAAGUCUUACUUGGAAAUGGGUACUGUCCUUGUUGGAAUCGAGGAUCGUGCGGAAGAACUUGUGAAAAAAUUAGAAGUUGGCAUAGACUAUCAGGUUCAGGUAUUCGGGAUUUGGGGCAUGGGCGGCAUAGGGAAGACAACUCUAGCCAAGUUUGUCUACAACCAAAUUGUAGACAAGUUUGAAAGUAAUUCUUUCCUUAAAGAUAUCCGAGAAACAUCCCGGUAUCCCAGAGGCCUUCAAUACUUACAAAGUAAAUUGGUCUCCGACGUAUUAGAGCUUGAGCAGCAGGACUAUGCUACUGUAGAGGAAGGAACCAAUGUGCUUAAGGAAACGCUUAGCCAAAAGAAAGUCCUGAUUCUUCUCGAUGAUGUGGACCACAUCAACCAGAUUAAAGCUUUGGCAGCUGAUGUUGGUUGGUUUGGCCGAGGAAGCAGGAUCAUCAUCACUACCAGAGAAAAGGAUGUCCUGGAACAAUUUCAAGUGCAAGAUUUGUAUGAAGUCCCAUUACUGGAUGAAGGUCAUGCUUUAGAGCUCUUCUGCAUGCACGCAUUCAGAGAUAAGUUGCCCAGACCUGACUUGGCCGAAGAAGCAUUGCAGAUCGUGAACAUAACUGGACGGCUUCCUCUGGCUCUUGAGGUUAUGGGAUCAUUCUUAUCUGUCUAUGGUGGAAGGAAGGAUAUGUGGCAUGCUACGAUAGAGAAGUUGAAAUUCAAGCUUGGCAUGGUCGACAUCCAAGAUAAGUUGAAGCUAAGUUACGAGUCGUUGGAACGUGAGCAAAAGGAGAUAUUCCUUGACAUUGCAUGCCUUUUCAUUGGAAUGGACAUCAGGCUAGUGAUGCCCAUGUGGGAAGAUGCUAAAAUUUCCCCAGAAGUGGGAAUCGAGAUCCUCCAACUAAAGUCGUUGAUUAAAAUCGGAGAGGACAAUACGAUAUGGAUGCACGAUCAACUCAGAGAUUUCGGUAGAAGCAUUGUUGAACAAGAAGACAAAGAACCAGGACGGCGGAGUAGGCUGUGGCACUGUGAAGUUGCAUUUGAUGUAUUAGUGGAAAAACAGGGAACAUCAAAAGUGGAAGCCAUCAGUCUAGAAGGAUAUCAUUUCAUGGAGGAAGAAGAUCAUCUUAAUGAUGACAUGUUUAGGAAUCUUCCAAGGAUGAGAGUUCUUGAACUCGCCGGCGCUAGACUUGAUGGGAACUUUCGAAAUCUUUUCCGCCAGCUGACAUGGUUGAGUUGGCACAGAGAGAACAUGUCUCUGCCGAUGAAUUUAGUUUUGAGGAACUUAAUUGUUCUCGAUCUGUCAAAGAGCUUAAUUCAUGAUGAUUGGACCGGUUGGAGCUCGAUCAAGUUCGGGUCGAAGCUCAAAGUUCUCAAUCUAAGAGAGUGCCAAAUAAGCAGAACUCCUGACUUCUCAGCAUUUCCGAGCUUGGAAAUCUUGAUUCUCGAGUCCUGCAUGCAGUUGCUUUACAUUGAUCCGUCAAUAGGGCUUCUAAAGAACCUGAUCCUCCUAAAUUUGAGGGGUUGUUGGGGACUGGAGAAGUUGCCGGAACAAUUGGGUUCCAUGGAGUCACUAGUCGAGUUUCUCAUUGAUAGUACAGGGGUCAAAGAAAUACCAAUAUCUAGAGGUAUGAAGAAGCUCGAAGUUUUAUCUGCAAAUAGUUGUAGAUCUCUCCAUGAAAUUCCCGCAUCUGUCGGAUCCCUCAUGAACUUGAGGAAACUAUCAUUAAAAGAUUCUGGCCUAAAGGAACUUCCAGACUCCAUUGGGCAGUUAACCUCAUUGGUUGAAUUGAUCUUGUCGCAAACUAAAAUCAGAAGUAUGCCCGAUUUUGUUGGAGAUCUACAUGAUCUGGAAUUGCUCAAGAUCGAUCACACGGAUAUCACUUGUUUACCAGGUAACCUGGGAAGCUUGAAGAAGCUCAAAGUGCUGGACGCCUCUUGGUCUUCACUGGAGCGAGAAAGAGCCGAAAUAAUUUCCAAUGAAAUUCUGAGUCUAUCCUCUUUGAGGAUCUUGAAAGUUCGCAGGGUAAAGAGCCUCCCGGCAGAUAUGAGGGCUCUCUCAUGCCUACAGACCCUUGAUUUAGUUCGCUGCCGCAAUCUUCUGACCUUCCCCAAGCUUCCAUCUAGCUUAAUUAGUCUAAGAGUUGAAGCCUUUUCAAAACUGAGUUCCCUGAACCUUGCAAACUUGGUUAAUCUGAAAGAACUGAUUUUGUUUAAUGAUUUCGAGCUCAAGGAGCUGGAAAGCAUCUCCAGCCUGAGGAAACUCGAGGAAAUGACUUUGCAGUCAGUGAAGAUAUCUACCUUACCGGAAGAUACAGGUGCAUUUCUCCAUCGUCUUAAAGAGCUCGAUAUUCGUUUUUGUCUUGAACUAAAAAGCCUCCCCGCUCUUCCCUCAAGUCUGUUAGUUUUGAGAAUUACAGCCUGUGACUCACUUGAGAGAUUGCCAGACAUGUCAAACUUGAAGAAUUUGUCGAUGUUAGAGGUUAUGAAUUGCGGCAAUCUCAGGGAAAUUGAAGGCCUUGGCAAUCUCCUGUCCCUGAAGUAUCUGAAUACAGAUUCCUGCCCCUUAACUGAGCUGGACGGUCUGGAGUCGGAGAGGCUCAAGUCUUUAACUGCUUUAUCUGCCGCUUGGUCUCAAGUUGAGAGACUUCCCGACUUAUCCAAGUUGAAGAACUUGAAGUCCCUAAGUGUACCGUUUAGCGGUAAGCUAGUUGAGAUCCAAGGUCUCAGCAGUUUGCACAGCCUGAGAAUGUUAUCGAUGGCCUGUUGCACAUCGCUCAAAUGCUUGCCAGUGCUUCCAAACUCUUUGGAGCAAUUAUGCCUUACAGGUUGCGAGCAAUUUAGUGAAAUUGAUGCGAUUGCAGAAUUGGAGUCACUGCUGGAGUUGGACAUCAGUGGGUGCAGAUCGCUCAAGAAGUUACCAAACCUAUCGAAGUUGCAGAGGCUGAAGAUCUUAAUGAUGGCAGGUUGUGAGAACAUCACGGAAAUUCCAGGACUCGAGGAACUGAGUAAUCUGAGGGCGUUGGACAUCUUUCAAUGCAAGGCACUUAAGUUACCCGAUCUUUCAAAGCAGCAGAGUAAUGGGCUGUUACUAACGAGAAUUCCGCAAAGCCUAAUAUUUUAUGGUCCAAUUCACAGCAACACUCCCUUAACUAGGCCUACCGGUGCCCUGUUUACUUGGUCAAACCAGAUUGCGCAAAUGCAGGGAGAUUUCCAACCUGAUCAUGCCAAUAUUCCUGGACAUUACGCCCAAUUACGCAUUGAGCAAGUGGUGCCUCAUGGAGGUGGCAGGGAUGGUGAAGUCCAUGAGGGAGAGCAAACAGCUAAUCAUGCCAAUAUUCCUGGAUUCCAAAGUGUUCUCCCUGCACGAGAAGAGGUUCGGUCAGGAGAAGGUCCAAGCGUGGAGGGACGGGCGGAAGGAAGCUGUGAAGCUGAAGGGUCCGGAACUAUAUAAAAUGGCAAACGGCGAGGGUGAAGCCUUGCAACUGUUGGCAGGGCAACUGGUCCGGCGCCACAUGAAGAUAUUAAAAAGAAACUGCAAAUUGCAAAUGGCUGGGGAUGGGAUUGAAUCUCGCAGAACUUUUUAUAAUAUCUCUUUUGCUGGGCGUGAGGGCUCGACAAUUUGCCCAUUGUUUUAUCAGUUUCCUUCGCCUAUGAAAGGAGCCCCCACCAUCGGUGAAAAACACAUGACCAAGGUGGAGAGAGCGGUAGGUCCCAAUCUAGUUACGGUCCACAUUGCUAGAUUAGAACCUGUGUAACGUGCUAUUACAUAGUGGAAUCUUUGUCCCUUAACCCAUAUGGUAGUCCCUUGCACGGUUUUCCACGCAUAUAUCCGUUGUUAUUUGUUAUCCAUUAUUUUGUUUCCGUCUUUAUUCUAUUAAUUCCAGCUUGUAGUGAAGAUAACUCUUUGCCAAAUUAGCACUCGAUAAACCUACGAGAAGAUCUUCACGUGCCAACUAUGAAUAUAAGAGCUUAGUGGGUCCUAAUACUAACCCCCUUUUUUUCCCGAAUGAUUCUAUUUUGAUGAACUGGAAUCAAUCUCAACUGAAUCUGAAAGUCGGUUUUAUUUCAAAGUGAAGUGGCUCAUUUAUACAGAGGGAUUUAAAGAAAAAGGAAGCGAUGACUGCCAUUUUUUUUUAAUGUGCACCAUGAUAUCCGAAAGUUCAAUAAGCCCUUUAAUUCUUGGAUCAGCCUAAUAAAGGGUAAACCUCAAACUAGAACUAACUUUUUUUUCUUGUGCACUAAAAGAAAGUUCUUUCAUGUUGGAUUUAAGCAGAAAUUUUUUCCCUCAUUUUAAAAGGGAAAUAUUGAGGGGAAAAAAAUAACAUUCUCCUCCUCAUUCUUUUCCCUUUUGUUUCAUUUCUAUGUUCAAUGUCAGCUUUUUUUGGUAACCAUGACUGAACAUUCAUCGAAACUUAAGGAGGUCUGCUUCUCGUGGACUCUUGUCAAAAAUUAGGACCACUACCAGACUCCAUUGGGCAAUUAAAGUCAUCGCUAGCUCGAGCUGAACUUGUCAUACAGCGACUCUCGUGGAAGACUUUUUGAGAGAGCACAAGACUCUUCAGACCUCACUGAGCUUCUGAUAACCUCUAAUUAGAGUUGUUUUAUAUUCCCAUUUUUGCUAUAUUGUCAGUUUAGUCUUCAGCAAAAUGUGUUGUUUCGAUGUUUUUGUGUUAAGUUAAGGCUCGGAGGGAGUCGUUAAGUCUUUAGUACAUCUUUUACUUUGUUCGACACUCAUGGGAGCGUUUGAUGAUUGUUGGUAGGUGUUUCAGAAGAAGGAUCGAAGUUGGAAUAGUGGGAGUCGCGACCUCAGUUGAAGGUUGCAACUUUCCUCUUGAAGAAGCAAGGGGCAAUAGGGUCAUGAGGUUGCAACCUUUUCUGAAAGUCGCAACUCUGCCCUCUCUGCCAUCCCUUUGAAUAUACCGAAAAUUCAAGAUUGUCUUGUCCUUGGUGUAUCCACUUUGAUGAAAGAGAGAUAAAAUUAGAAGAUUGUGGGGAAGAGAAGGAAGGCUCGUGGGGAUGCAAAGAAAAAGAAGGCAUCACCAUCAUUCCCAUCCCAUCACUACUUCUUAUCUUCUUCCUCUUUGUUCGUUUUGUCAUUCUCUCUUGAUUAUUUUCCUUCUUCCUGGGCUGAGCUGAACGAAAAACAGAGGGAAAGAGAGGGCUCAAUAGAGCUGAAGCAUUUUGGGUUCAAGGGAGGGCUAAGGCUUGAGUCGAAGACGGGAAGUCGGGUGACCUACCGAGUUUUCUCUUCAUCUUUCUCUUCUCUUUCUUGUAUAAUGUUAAUCUAUGUUCUUGUGAUGACUAUCUUGGAUAUGAGCUAAGCUUGACUUCUAGGAUUCCGAUAAAACUUGGUGUAUUUUGAUUUGGAGUACUCUCUUGAUCGGUUUAUGGAAUGUUAUGAAGUGCUUAUUUUAUCUCCA